UACGUAGGGAGCAAGCGUUGUCCGGAAUCAUUGGGCGUAAAGCGCGCGUAGGCGGCCCUGUAAGUCCGUUGUGAAAGUCAAAGGCUCAACCUUUGAAAGCCGAUGGAUACUGCAGGGCUAGAGUCCGGAAGAGGCGAGUGGAAUUCCUGGUGUAGCGGUGGAAUGCGCAGAUAUCAGGAGGAACACCAAUAGCGAAGGCAGCUCGCUGGGACGGUAACUGACGCUGAGGAGCGAAAGCGUGGGGAGCAAACAGG
rnacentral:rRNA from 1 species